UAACAACAUUAAAUUCCAUUGACUACUGAAUUAUGGGUAGGUUUUCAACUAAUUUAUAAAUAAACUUCGUUUUUGGCAUUUUUUUUCUGUUUUUUUUUCUUUCAUAUGAAAAUACAGAUCAUGAUGCUGAUGAAACACAAAAGAUAAAACGGAUAAUUCCAGAAACAUAUUUUUUAUUCAUUGUCAAUGCAGUAGCAGUAUAAUAGAAACAAUUCGUUCUAACCACCUUAAGACAGACAUUCUGUCGAGAAUUCUAUCAAACAAAAGCAGAGAUAACCCCUUGAAUGAAUGUUCUAGAAAGAAGGUAAAAGAGUAUCUGCAAACUUGCAGGCAACUUGGAAAACAGACACAGGCAAAGAUACAUGAAUUCUGAAUUAAAUGUUUACAGCACAAAGAACAAAAAACAAAAAAAAAACACUAUCUUCAUAUUUCCCCAAUUUAUCUUGCACACCAGGUGCUUUAAAUAAAGCUUUUUAAAAGGUUCAGAUUGUGUUUAAAUGUGCUGUCUGCUGCGAGCUGAGUAUAAAAUUCAAUACGAGCAUGCUAACAUUCAUCUCUCCAUGAACAGAGCUUUGAUAGUGUUCUAAAGGAUGUUGACUGAAGCUUUGAUUGUGUAUAAAUGAGUGUAUGGCAGAUUAAACAGUGUUAAUUAUUACUUUUUCAUCAGUCAUCAUCAUCAUAAUAUCGGUUCUGUUUAAUUUGAUCCUCUACGGACAAGAAGUCAUUUUCAUCCUGCCAGAGGCUGCUGGCUUCACUCAGCAGCCCAGCAUCUUUGGUGUCAUUUUUAUCGAGCGGAUUCUUCCUCAUUUCCGCCUCAGUGUGUUGGCCCGUUUCCCCUUUUGAUUCUAUUCCAAAAUCCAGAAGGUCAUCCAGCUGAGAUGAAGCUGAUUCCUUGCUACGGAUGUCAUCCUUAAAUUCAGGAAACAAACUAGAACUGUCAUCAAAACCUGCAAAUAUGUCAUCUAAGAAACGUGAGGCACUAAACUUUGGGUUGUCAUCUGUCUCAGUGCAAACCAGUGUUUUGGUUUUGGGGUGUUCUUGUUCUGCCUCUUUUAUGUCAUGUGAGUAUUUGGCACGUGAUGAGACAGAGCUGUCAUCUUGGAGCUGUUGGAAUAUGUCAGAAGCCAUCAUCUCACUGUUGAUCUCUUCUUUAAUUUCAUCAAUUCCUGCCAAACUGGCCUUGUUGUCCAAUAUUAGGUUGCUGUUGUUGUUAUUAUUGUUGUUGUUUGCAUUACCAUUGGCUGUUUGGACAUUUGGUAUUUCACCAUCUAUCGCUGUCACUUUUACCUCUUCUCCCUCAUUUAUUUCACUUUGCACUUUCUUUUCACUUUCCUUAGUACCAUUUUCAUAUAUGUUUGCAUUGUCACUUUCUUCUUCAUUCUUAGAUCCUUCUAUGACUCCAUUCUCCAACUCCUCCUCAACUUUUUGA
rnacentral:lncRNA from 1 species